UGUGGGAAAACGUUAGCCAACCCUUUCAUAAAUCUUUUAGUCAUUGGAUGGGAAAAACACAGAAUAGCCAUCCACCUAGUGUCAGAAAGCAGUGAUAGCCACUAUAUGCACCUUGAGGGAGGAGCAGGUGAGGCCAGAAUUUUUACGAUAUAAAAGAUAGUACAAAAUGUGAUGAAUAGGUGCUGAAUAUGGAUCUAAGGCUGUGUCAAAACACCAUGAAGAAAAGCAGCUCCACUUAUGGAGCCAGGUACCAGGCUGUCAGAGCAAGAUGGUCGAGUUGAGGAUGCAUCAAUCGCCCGUGGUUCUGCGUCAGCAAGUCAUAGCAUCUGGGUAGGUGAUAUGGAGAGUGGAUCGACAUGUGAGACAGACGACAUCUCAGAGGGCAAGCAAGAUUGUUUGAGAAAGGGUUGGGCUGCCUGGCUGCAGAUGGGUGUCCCAACCUUGGAGUGAUGCAUAGGGGGUAAGUUGCAUUGUUGGUUGAGGGCGAUGAAAGAGAAUCCAAUUGUCCAUCCAAUUGUCAGAGAUGGUCCACCAGAGCAAUGAUUUUCUUACGUGAGAAGGUAUCGUAACUCUCCUGUGGACGUCUUAGCUGUUUGGGAUAUAUAUCGUAGCCAUCCAAUGCUGAAGACAUCGGAAGCGUAAUCUUGCGCAUGCUACAACAUACUUUGUGGACGCCAUAUGGCCAUGAGCUACAGGCAGGUGAGUACAGGUGUCCUGGGACUGGCAGAGAAAACUUGUACUAAGUCCUGGAUCUCCUGGAAUCUGUUCAUGGGUAAGAACGCACACACCUUGGUCGAGUUGAGGCGUGCGCCAAUGAACUCUAUCAAUUGUUGCGGUAUCAUGAACGACUUCGGGACAUUGAAUAUAAGCCCAAGUGUCCCAAAUACACAUCUCGUGGUGUUGGUGGCGUGAAGCGCUUUGGUGAACAAAGGUGCUCUCAUUAGGCAGUCGUCGAGAUAGGGGAAUAUAAUGAUUCCCAGUUUUCACAGGUAUGCUGUGACUACUGCCAGUGUCUUUGAGAAGACCCUGGGAGCCGACGAGAGACCAAAAGGCAGGACCUUGUACUGGAAAUGGUCUUUGCCUAUUUGGAAACUUAGGAAUCGUCUGUGGGCCGGGUGAAUGGCCACAUGAAAGUAGGAAUCCUGUAGAUUCGGGGACGUGAACCAAUCUCCGCUGUGCAGUGCUAGUAUGAUAGUCGCCAGGGUCACCAUCUUGAAGCGUUGUUUACGAAGGUACUGAUUUAAAAGUCAAAGGUCCAGAAUGGGUCUCUAGCCUCCCGACUUCUUCCGGGUCAAGAAAUAGUGGGAAUAAAAGCCUCUGCCACCUUCUCUAUUGCUCCGAUGGUCAGGAGACGAAGUGCUUCUUGUUUUAAGAGAGGCUUGUGAGAUGGGUCCCUGAAGAGGAACGGGGUGGGAAGAGGCAAUGAA